GACGAACCGUGCGAACGUUGUUCGGAUUCACUGGGCUUAAAGGGCGCGUAGGCGGGCGGUCAAGUCGGGGGUGAAAUCUUUCAGCUUAACUGGAAAAGUGCCUCCGAUACUGAUCGCCUCGAGGGAGGUAGGGGCAUGUGGAACUUCCGGUGGAGCGGUGAAAUGCGUAGAUAUCGGAAGGAACGCCGGUGGCGAAAGCGGCUUCCUGGUCCAGCACCGACGUUCAGGCACGAAAGCGUGGGGAGCAAACAGG
rnacentral:rRNA from 1 species